rnacentral:rRNA from 1 species
GAUGAACGCUGGCGGCGUGCCUAAUACAUGCAAGUAGAACGCUGAAGGAGGAGCUUGCUCUUCUGGAUGAGUUGCGAACGGGUGAGUAACGCGUAGGUAUCCUGCCUGGUAGCGGGGGAUAACUAUUGGAAACGAUAGCUAAUACCGCAUGACAACAGUUAUUGCAUGAUAACUGUUUAAAAGGGGCAACUGCUCCACUACUAGAUGGACCUGCGUCGUAUUAGCUAGUUGGUGAGGUAACGGCUCACCAAGGCGACGAUACAUAGCCGACCUGGGAGGGGGGUCGGCCACACUGGGACUGAGACACCGCCCAGACUCCUUCGGGAGGCAGCAGUAGGGAAUCUUCGGCAAUGGACGGAAGUCUGACCGAGCAACGCCGCGUGAGUGAAGAAGGGUUUCGGAUCGUAAAGCUCUGUUGUAAGGGAAGAACGAGUGUGGGAGUGGAAAGUUCACACUGUGACGGUAUCUUACCAGAAAGGGACGGCUAACUACGUG